rnacentral:lncRNA from 1 species
CUCGUGAUCCGCCCACCUCGGCCUCCCAAAGUGCUGAGAUUACAGGUGUGAGCCACUGCGCCCGGCCGAAUUACUGCUUCUUUCUAAAGUUAUGCCUGCUUGAGUCUGAAUAUAACCAUUUUAAAGAAAAUCAAAGAACAUCCCCCUCCCUCCCACAAAUGCAUAAAUAUAGGUUUCUCUAAAAGCCUGGGUCGCACUGACUACGGCUUUUUGGAAAUUUGUCCUCUGUCCCUCCAUGGAAGACAAAUCUAGCAUUUUGUAAAAAAUUAAACAGUAACAACAAACAACUCCCUAUUGGCUGCUUUUCACAGGAUGCCUCUCCCUUGAAGCAGCCACCCUCUUUCCCUAAGCGCUUAUUUUCCCUCCCCUCCCCUCCCCUUCCUUCCGGUUGUUAAAACUUUCACCAGUGAGAGGAUGGUGUACUGCAGUAAGGCAAGCACUUGCAGUGUGUCAGGCAUUUGAGAUAUAGGGAGGAGACAGUAACUAUGGGGCAAUGAGGGUGGAUGGCUAUUGCUAAGUGCCACUGAUGCCUCAAGAAGGAUAAUGAACAUCAGAGAGCAAGUACCAGGCAACUGGAAGCCAGAUGUGGAAGCCCGAGGACCACUAGUUGCAUACAGAGAAUCUCUCAUCUGCAGUGGAAGGGAAGAGAAAGUGAGGACUAAGCCCAGGGCUUAAUAGAGUGGCAGAAUUUCAGACAGUUAAAACACCCAACCAAGGCAGGUCUGAUAUGUAAGGUCAAGGACCCAAUUGGGAAAACCUAACACAUGAGAUGGCAAUAUCUGCUUGGAUCCCCCCCAAAGACUUUUACUUCCUGAACCCCUCAGAACAUUCUGAACCUAUACAUAUGCCUCCCCCAUUCCUUGCUAGCACUCUCCAUUCCCAAUAUUACACUGGCCCUUCUUGUGCAAGACAAUGUAUGCACCUUUCAGAGUCCUCUAUGACUCAGCUGGGGACAUGCUGGGCUUGCUAAGGGAGAAUAGGGACUAUACUGAACUGUAAGAUGUAGUCAGCAUGGACUGACAGGAGCUGGAGGAGAUUCUGAGAGCACUUGAAGAGGGGGACCAGAACAUAAGGUAGAAGAGAGGACAAUUUUUGACUUGAAAGGGUUUUUCUAAGAUACAGAAUUUAACUCCCUAGCAUAAGUAUCCCAGGUGUUGGUGUAAACUUGCUGCUAGCAUGGCUUCUAGAAAGCUGGAAAAAGUGAUGGCCCAUGUUGAACAAAGUUAAAAUUCCAGAAUUUCUAUGGGAGACAAUGGAGGAAGGGAAGGAAAGGAGAGGAAAGGAGGGAGGGAGACCAUAUUGUGGGGAGACAGAGGAAUAUAGACUAUUGCCACAUCCUAUGCCUCUUCUCUCCACUCUUGUUUAAUUGACCACUUGGGCCCCUGAAGAAACUGGAUGGGUUAGGGAGGGUCAUUGUAGACCAUCACAAGCUCAAUCAAGUAUAAUCCCAAUUGCAUGCUGCCAGAUGUAUCUUCAUUAGACCAGAUCUAUACUGCCUUAAGUAUAUGGGUAUACAGCUGUUGAUUUAGUGCAGGCAUUCUUUUCUCUUCCAGUCAGAAUCAGAAACAGUUCACAUUUUCAUGGAAAUGAUAAUACACAUUAACAGUUUUGCUCCAAGGCCAUGCUAAGUCCAAAGAAGUGUGGACCAGCUGGACAUCCACAGAACAUCACAUUGAUCCAUUACAACAAUGCCACCAUGUUGAUUGGGCUGGAUGAGCAAGAAGUGGCUAGCACACUGCAGACCUUGGAAAGCUAUGAACAAGAGGAACAUGGUUUGGAAAUGUUUGUCCCAGCCACCAUGUCCAGAUGAGGAAACAGAAUUCCAUGGAAGUGGAAUGACCAGCACUUGGUCCCACAGCUGGAUGUGGCCCAGCCAGGGCUGAAGCCAGACGGUGGAGUCUCAGCCUGGACUGUUCAGACUUGGGUCUUUCCCUCCAUCCUUCACCCACCACACACCUUGAUUUAACCCAGGAAAAAACUUUCCAGUGGGCCACAGAAAUGGAGCAGAUUCUGCUCGGAUAGAGACUGCUUCUGAGGUUCAUCUGUGUCUUCAGCAGAAUCCCCCAGGCUGGUGGACGCAGGAGGGAGCGAGGAGGCAGGAGUCCCCACGGACAUGGCUGCACAGCCUGGGGCCACAGGGCUUCCAAGAGGGAGCCAGUCUGCAGCAGAAAAGCCCAGAGGGCAGCUUCCGCACACACACAAGCACAGCCCCCACCCCCGACACUGCAGACAGGGCCUCUUCCGGAAGGCGCUCCCCCAAGCUCAUGUCCCACAGCCUGGGCUUGUUGGAGGCCAUCUGGCCUGCAGAUGCUGGUGAGCCUCCAUGGUGUCUGUCCCCACUGUGGCAGGGACAAAGUCCCCAAGAGGAAGAGAGGACCUGACUGCUCUUCAGAGCUUGACACACAGCACCCCCAGCCAGAAGCUGACCUCCCACUUGUUUGAGGCAGUGUUCAAGGGGCUGUCCACAGCAAGAGAGAUGGGACUGGGCUCCAUCUCCAAAGAGGCCUCCCUGAGCCAGCACAGAGGAAGGACAAAGAAAAGAUUGAAAAAAGCAGAGUUGGGGCUCUCUGGUGCCAUUGCGCUGCCUCCAUUCAGCUAAGAUGCCCUGCCUCUCCUUCCACCUAAAGCAGCUUCUGCCACUUAGGAGACCCCCCUCUCCCCAAACACUGAAUGGCACGGGUUGGCCAGCUUAGGAACUCCGUUGACUAAGCCAGACCUUCCUCCUUUCCGCCUGCCCCUAGAGUGUGAGAGGGCACAGCAAGCAGCUGUCCUCCCUGCUGGUGGUCACCACCUCCAGCACUGGCUCUGUUUCCCUUUGAACAUUAAUUAGCAGGUGGGUUCUGAUUUGAGAGUGAAGCAUUCUUUGGGGGUGCCCAGCUGAGAGCAGUGGUCUGGUGGAGCAGCGUGCAGGACUCUCUGGAAGGCUCACCCGUUAUAGCAGAGCUGGAAAUGUGAUUUCCAGGCCUGAGUCGGAUGGUGGGGGAGGGUCGCCCUCCAGCCUGGUGACUGGAGGUGAAUUCCCGGAUCUCCUGGGUCUUGGCUUCUUCCUCUGUGAACUCUGACUUGGGGGUUGUUGGGAGGUGAUUUAGUGCUGUUCUAACAUAUGCUGGUAUCUGCCCUUCACAACGCGGGGACAGAGGCGGAUGGCAGUGUUUUCACUGCUGUCCCUGUGGACAUGGAGGGUGCUAUGUGGGGAGAAGUGCCACAACCCAAAAUCUCAGCACAUUAGUCCUGAGUGGAAAACCUCCUCUGACAGUUUCUUCA